rnacentral:tRNA from 1 species
CCCUGGGUGGCUCAGUCGGUUAAGCAUCUGACUCCUGGUUUCAGUUCAGGUCAUGAUCUCAUGGUUUGUGGGUUCAAGCCCUACCUCAGGCU